rnacentral:rRNA from 1 species
GAUGAACGCUGGCGGCGUGCCUAAUACAUGCAAGUAGAACGCUGAAGGAGGAGCUUGCUCUUCUGGAUGAGUUGCGAACGGGUGAGUAACGCGUAGGUAACCUGCCUGGUAGCGGGGGAUAACUAUUGGAAACGAUAGCUAAUACCGCAUGACAACAGUUAUUGCAUGAUAACUGUUUAAAAGGGGCAACUGCUCCACUACCAGAUGGACCUGCGUUGUAUUAGCUAGUUGGUGAGGUAACGGCUCACCAAGGCGACGAUACAUAGCCGACCGGAGAGGGUGAUCGGCCACACUGGGACUGAGACACGGCCCAGACUCCUACGGGAGGCGGCAGUAGGGAAUCUUCGGCAAUAGACGGAAGUCUGACCGAGCAACGCCGCGGGAGUGAAGAAGGGUUUCGGAUCGUAAAGCUCGGUUGUAAGAGAAGAACGAGUGUGAGAGUGGAAAGUUCACACUGUGACGGUAGCUUACCAGAAAGGGACGGCUAACUACGUG